rnacentral:rRNA from 1 species
CGCCUGUUUAUCAAAAACAUCUCUUCUUGUUAGUUUUUGAAGUAUGGCCUGCCCACUGACUUAUUUGUUGAAGGGCCGCGGUAUUUUGACCGUGCAAAGGUAGCAUAAUCAUUAGUUCUUUAAUUGUGAUCUGGUAUGAAUGGCUUGACGAGGUAUAGUCUGUCUUAAUUGUAUUGUUGAUUGAAUUUAGUUUUUGAGUUAAAAUUCUUAGAUGUUUUUAUGGGACGAGAAGACCCUAUAGAGUUUUACAUUUAUUUCUUCAUUACUUUUAUUUGUUUGUUUUUAUUGUAAAUUGGGUUGAAUGUUUUGUUGGGGUGAUGGGAGGAAUUUUUUUAACUCCUCUUUGUUUUUAUACGCUUAUUUGUGUUUUUUUGAUCCAUUUGUUUUGAUUAUAAGAUUAAAUUACCUUAGGGAUAACAGCGUUAUCUUCCCUGAGAGUUCUUAUUGGCGGGAAGGUUUGCGACCUCGAUGUUGGAUUAAGAUUAAUUUUCGGUGCAGAAGCUGGAAUUGAUUAGGUCUGUUCGACCUUUAAAAUCUUACGUGAUCUGAGU